rnacentral:rRNA from 1 species
UAUUGCACAAUGGGCGCAAGCCUGAUGCAGCAACGCCGCGUGAGGGAUGACGGCCUUCGGGUUGUAAACCUCUUUUAGCAGGGAAGAAGCGAAAGUGACGGUACCUGCAGAAAAAGCACCGGCUAACUACGUGCCAGCAGCCGCGGUAAUACGUAGGGUGCAAGCGUUAUCCGGAAUUAUUGGGCGUAAAGAGCUCGUAGGCGGUUUGUCGCGUCUGCUGUGAAAUCUGGGGGCUCAACCCCCAGCCUGCAGUGGGUACGGGCAGACUAGAGUGCGGUAGGGGAGAUUGGAAUUCCUGGUGUAGCGGUGGAAUGCGCAGAUAUCAGGAGGAACACCAAUGGCGAAGGCAGAUCUCUGGGCCGUUACUGACGCUGAGGAGCGAAAGGGUGGGGAGCAAACAG